CAUGCUCUUCACAUAUCUGUGUACCGAGCCAAUCCCUUGCCUGAAAGACAGGGAGGAAAAUGGUGUUAAUCAGGAAGACAGGGAGCAAAAUGGAGCAAGAGUGAAGCCAGAGGUUCAUUUUGCAUGCAAGCAACCACCCCCAGUGUAAGACUCAACCACAGCUAUUGCCAGUCACAGUGAGGGACCCCGUGAUGCCGUGCAACUGCUUCUUUGCGAAGCGAGUUUUGCCUAACCUGCUUCCCAGAAGGUGUGUGCUGACUCCUUGCAACUGGGCUGCUGUAAAGUGCUUCAAGUUGAAGCCAAAGAAACUGAAACCUCAUUGCCUGUUUGCUCAUUUUCAGUCGGGCCCCAUUAGAGGUAC